rnacentral:rRNA from 1 species
AGAGGGGGCAAGCGUUAUUCGGAAUUAUUGGGCGUAAAGGGCGCGUAGGCGGCUUUUCAAGUGACGGGUGAAAUCCCUCGGCUUAACCGAGGAACUGCCUGUCAGACUGGAAGGCUUGAGACCGGGAGAGGUGAGUGGAAUUCCCAGUGUAGCGGUGAAAUGCGUAGAUAUUGGGAGGAACACCAGUGGCGAAGGCGGCUCACUGGACCGGAACUGACGCUGAGGCGCGAAAGCGUGGGGAGCAAACAGGAUUAGAUACCCUGGUAGUCCACGCCGUAAACGAUGAGUGCUUGGUGUAGCGGGUAUCGACCCCUGCUGUGCCGAAGUCAACACAUUAAGCACUCCGCCUGGGGAGUACGGUCGCAAGACU